UACGUAGGGGGCAAGCGUUGUCCGGAUUUAUUGGGCGUAAAGAGCGUGUAGGCGGCCAGAUAGGUCCGUUGUGAAAACUGGAGGCUUAACCUCCAGCUGUCGAUGGAAACCAUCUGGCUAGAGUCCGGAAGAGGAGAGUGGAAUUCCUGGUGUAGCGGUGAAAUGCGCAGAUAUCAGGAGGGACACCAAUGGCGAAGGCAGCUCGCUGGGACGUGACUGACGCUGAGACGCGAAAGCGUGGGGAGCAAACAGG
rnacentral:rRNA from 1 species